rnacentral:rRNA from 1 species
UACGUAGGUGACAAGCGUUGUUCGGAUUUACUGGGCGUAAAGAGCGCGCAGGCGGUCGAUCAAGUCGAGUGUGAAAGCCCCCGGCUCAACUGGGGAGGGUCAUUCGAUACUGAUCGACUCGAAGGCAGGAGAGGGUAGUGGAAUUCCCGGUGUAGUGGUGAAAUGCGUAGAUAUCGAGAGGAACACCUGCGGCGAAGGCGGGUUGCUGGGCCGACACUGACGCUGAUGCGCGAAAGCCAGGGGAGCGAACGGG